GUGAAUCAUCAAAUUUUUGAACGCAAAUUGCGCUUCCUGGCAUCCCGGGAAGUAUGCCUGUUUGAGGGUCAGUAUUAAUAAAAAAUCGGUUUAGUUACAAAUUGUGACGUUUCCGGAGUUUGGCUAUUUUUAACUUUUUGGGUAAAGGGCCUUAAAAUUGACUUUUUUGCGCAAUUUUUAAGGGUACAUAAUUUUUUUUUAUUCGUUUAUUUUUAUUCCCAAAAUCUAUUUAGAUGCGAC
rnacentral:misc_RNA from 1 species